rnacentral:rRNA from 1 species
UACAUGGGGGUGCAAACGUUGCUCGGAAUUAUUGGGGCGUAAAGCGCACGUAGGCGGCCUGAUAAGUCGGGUGUGAAAGCCCUGGGCUCAACCCCAGGGAAGUGCACUCGAAACUGUCAGGCUUGAAUAUGGAAGAGGGUCGCGGAAUUCCCGGUGGUAGAGGUGAAAUUCGUAGAUAUCGGGGAGGAAACUCCAGUGGCGAAGGGCGGCGACCUGGGCCAAUAUUGACGCUGAGGUGCGAAAGCGUGGGGAGCAAAACAGG